UACGGAGGGUGCAAGCGUUAUCCGGAUUCACUGGGUUUAAAGGGUGCGUAGGCGGACAAGUAAGUCAGUGGUGAAAUCUCUGGGCUUAACUCAGAAACUGCCGUUGAUACUAUUUGUCUUGAAUAUCGUGGAGGUAAGCGGAAUAUGUCAUGUAGCGGUGAAAUGCUUAGAUAUGACAUAGAACACCAAUUGCGAAGGCAGCUUACUACCCGAAUAUUGACACUGAGGCACGAAAGCGUGGGGAUCAAACAGG
rnacentral:rRNA from 1 species